GGGAGGCCUGUGAGAGAGAACCAGACGAGCAUAAGGACAGCUACGUAGCAUUAACUGGAGGUGGGGAGUGUCAGUGUAAAGGCAAGCCAGUCACUUGGGCACGUGUUGAGGCAUGGACAGAGUCCUUGGGAGGGCUCAUCCAGGAUGGGACUUUGGCCAAGCUGGUUUGACAGAGGGAGAGAGGGAAGCAGAAGUUGAAGGGAGUGCAAAUACAAAAUGGACCACAGAACCUACAGGAUCGGUGGGGGAAGGGAAGCCAGGGAGGCUGAAGGACAAUGAGGCAAAGAUGAAAACAACAGAUGAGAAGUGGCCUUGAGGUCAGAGACGUGGGGCAAUGACACAAGUGGGACAGUGUGUUGGAAUAUAAGACACAGAGCGAGGGACGUUGGAAACAGACCGGUAAGGUUCCUGGCUGUGACCGUAAGGGACAGUAGCUGAGGUGGGUAUAAGAAAAGCCCUUGAGAGGAAGAGGAGAGGAGCUGAGGGCAGCCAUUGGAUGGGUCUGUGUGGAUGGCAAAGUUCACCAAAGACAAAGGCAGAAAUUAGGAAGGAGGAGAGAAUGGUGAGCCAGAGCUCAUGCCUCUAAUUAAUGGUGACUGGUGACUAGGAGGUGGGUGACUGGCAGAGACAAGAUGACUGGUGUCGUCGUAUGGCACUUGCUGCCAGAGAGCAGGGCUUUUGAAGGAGGAAGGGGAAUUGUCCCCAACCCCUCCCAUCUAAAGCUUUUCCAUCUCUGGGCUAUUUAGUGAACAAAAGUACAUAGCACUACAUGCCCGGCAUGAAAGACGACACUACC